rnacentral:rRNA from 1 species
CCUACGGGUGGCUGCAGUGAGGAAUUUUCCGCAAUGGGCGAAAGCCUGACGGAGCAAUGCCGCGUGGAGGAAGACAGCCUAUGGGUUGUAAACUCCUUUUCUCAGAAAAGAAAAUUUGACGGUAUCUGAGGAAUAAGCAUCGGCUAACUCCGUGCCAGCAGCCGCGGUAAGACGGGGGAUGCAAGUGUUAUCCGGAAUAAUUGGGCGUAAAGCGUCUGAAUAUGAGUGGUUUGCCAAGUCUGUUGUUAAAACUUAGGGCUUAACCCUGAUCAGGC